CUACGGGGUGCUGCAGUGGGGAAUAUUGCACAAUGGAGGAAACUCUGAUGCAGCAACGCCGCGUGAGGGAAGAAGGUUUUCGGAUUGUAAACCUCUGUCCUCGGUGAAGAAAAAAAUGACGGUAGCCGAGGAGGAAGCCACGGCUAACUACGUGCCAGCAGCCGCGGUAAUACGUAGGUGGCAAGCGUUGUCCGGAUUUACUGGGUGUAAAGGGUGCGCAGGCGGGACUGCAAGUUGGAUGUGAAAUGCCGAGGCUCAACCUCGGAGCUGCAUCCAAAACUGUGGUUCUUGAGAGAUGUAGAGGUAAGCGGAAUUCCGAGUGUAGCGGUGAAAUGCGUAGAUAUUCGGAGGAACACCAGUGGCGAAGGCGGCUUACUGGGCAUUUUCUGACGCUGAGGCACGAAAGUGUGGGGAGCAAACAGGAUUAGAUACCCCCGUAGUC
rnacentral:rRNA from 1 species